UGCGUAGGCGGUCCCGCAAGUCCGCUGUGAAAGCCCCGGGCUUAACCUGGGAAUGGCAGUGGAAACUAGGGGACUUGAAUCCGGCAGAGGGGGGUGGAAUGCCACGUGUAGCAGUGAAAUGCGUAGAGAUGUGGCGGAACACCGAUGGCGAAGGCAGCCCCCUGGGUUGAGAUUGACGCUCAGGCACGAAAGCGUGGGGAGCAAACAGGAUUAGAUACCCUGGUAGUCCACGCCCUAAACGAUGAUCGCUAGGUGUUGGGGAAGCGAUUUCUCAGUACCGCAGCUAACGCGUGAAGUGAUCCGCCUGGGGAGUACGGUCGCAAGAUUAAA
rnacentral:rRNA from 1 species